UACGUAGGGUGCGAGCGUUGUCCGGAUUUACUGGGCGUAAAGAGCGCGCAGGCGGUCGAUUAAGUCGAGUGUGAAAGCCCCCGGCUCAACUGGGGAGGGUCACUUGAUACUGGUCGACUCGAAGGCAGGAGAGGGAAGUGGAAUUCCCGGUGUAGUGGUGAAAUGCGUAGAUAUCGGGAGGAACACCAGUGGCGAAGGCGACUUCCUGGCCUGUUCUUGACGCUGAGGCGCGAAAGCUAGGGGAGCAAACGGG
rnacentral:rRNA from 1 species